GCUGGCGGCAUGCCUUACACAUGCAAGUCGAACGGCAGCACGGGGGCAACCCUGGUGGCGAGUGGCGAACGGGUGAGUAAUACAUCGGAACGUGCCCUGUUGUGGGGGAUAACUAGUCGAAAGAUUAGCUAAUACCGCAUACGACCUGAGGGUGAAAGCGGGGGACCGAAAGGCCUCGCGCAAUAGGAGCGGCCGAUGUCUGAUUAGCUAGUUGGUGGGGUAAAGGCCCACCAAGGCGACGAUCAGUAGCUGGUCUGAGAGGACGAUCAGCCACACUGGGACUGAGACACGGCCCAGACUCCUACGGGAGGCAGCAGUGGGGAAUUUUGGACAAUGGGGGCAACCCUGAUCCAGCAAUGCCGCGUGUGUGAAGAAGGCCUUCGGGUUGUAAAGCACUUUUGUCCGGAAAGAAAUGGCCUGGGUUAAUACCUCGGGUCGAUGACGGUACCGGAAGAAUAAGCACCGGCUAACUACGUGCCAGCAGCCGCGGUAAUACGUAGGGUGCGAGCGUUAAUCGGAAUUACUGGGCGUAAAGCGUGCGCAAGCGG
rnacentral:rRNA from 1 species